AGUGAACGCUGGCGGUAGGCCUAACACAUGCAGGUCGAACGGCAGCACAGUAAGAGCUUGCUCUUACGGGUGGCGAGUGGCGGACGGGUGAGGAAUACAUCGGAAUCUACUUUUUCGUGGGGGAUAACGUAGGGAAACUUACGCUAAUACCGCAUACGACCUACGGGUGAAAGCAGGGGUUCUUCGGACCUUGCGCGAUUGAAUGAGACGAUGUCGGAUUAGCUAGUUGGCGGGGUAAAGGCCCACCAAGGCGACGAUCCGUAGCUGGUCUGAGAGGAUGAUCAGCCACACUGGAACUGAGACACGGUCCAGACUCCUACGGGAGGCAGCAGUGGGGAAUAUUGGACAAUGGGCGAAAGCCUGAUCGAGCCAUGCCGCGUGAGUGAAGAAGGCCUUCGGGUUGUAAAGCCCUUUUGUUGGGAAAGAAAAGCAGCAGGUUAAUACCCCGCUGUUCUGACGGUACCCAAAGAAUAAGCACCGGCUAACUUCGUG
rnacentral:rRNA from 1 species